UAUAAUAAUGUUCAUUGAUUAGCCCAAAGCUAAACGUGCUGGUUCUAUCAGGAGUGUUGCUGUAGUUUCAGGGAGGCGUUUUAGCUGGACUGAUAUUUUGGGGUUCCUGUUUGUUUACAGAGUAAAUCUGCCAUCAUGAUGAAGGCCGUGCUGAUGUGUCUGUUGGGCUCCAUCACCGCUAUACCUGUUCCUGUAGUGGAGGAGAUGCAGUCAGGAAGUGGGGAUUACUCCAACACUGACAAGAGUAAUCCAGCAACAGCUCCUGAGG